CAGUAGCCACGGUAAUACGAAGGGUGCUAGCGUUACUCGGAAUUACUGGGCGUAAAGCGUGCGUAGGUGGUGGUUUAAGUCCGUUGUGAAAGCCCUGGGCUCAACCUGGGAAUUGCAGUGGAUACUGGGUCACUAGAGUGUGGUAGAGGAUAGUGGAAUUUCCGGUGUAGCAGUGAAAUGCGUAGAGAUCGGAAGGAACAUCUGUGGCGAAGGCGACUAUCUGGGCCAACACUGACACUGAGGCACGAAAGCGUGGGGAGCAAACAGGAUUAGAUACCCCCGUAGUCCCUGUCUCUUAUAC
rnacentral:rRNA from 1 species